UCAUAUGAUAGAUGUGACUCAGGGAGGAACCGAGGUUGGGGAGGGCAAAACUGGCCCCAGAAUGGAUCGGGAAUGGGGACCCCCCCUGCGUUCCCCUGUGUCAACCUGCUCUGGGGGGCUUUGGGAGGGCACCUCCCCCUCAAUGGGCAUCCAGCUCACCCUAAAGGCAACUGCUGCCAUGGAUAACAUCGAUUGUAAGAAGGCAGAAGAGAAGGACAUGAAAGGGCCACCUGUGAGUAAAAGAUGUGUGGAGGAAUUGAUUUGCUCACUGUAAGCAAAAUAGCUGCUCUUGGUCGAAGGACUGGUCUGUGUAGAACAGCAGAUUUCUUGCCAUGUUUCUCCUUCCAGCUCUUCCUCAAAACUCUGCCUGUGCCAUCCACUGACGCCUUUCUAGCCCCCAAUCAUCUGCUCGAAUCUCUAAAACAUGUGACUCAUGUUCCAUUUUUAUAUUCAUCUUCACAUGACUCCUAAAUCUUUCUGUGUGCAUUUUUGUUUGUUUUCUCACUGGGUUGUAAAUGAGCUGUU